UGGAAUGGUUUUUUGUUUAAAUGUUUUUUCGCCUAAGGAUGGGUCUGCGGCCGAUUAGGUAGUUGGUUAGGUAACGGCUUACCAAGCCGUUGAUCGGUACGGGUUGUGAGAGCAAGAGCCCGGAGAUGGAACCUGAGACAAGGUUCCAGGCCCUACGGGGUGCAGCAGGCGCGAAACCUCCGCAAUGUGAGAAAUCGCGACGGGGGGAUCCCAAGUGCCAUUCUUAACGGGAUGGCUUUUCAUUAGUGUAAAGAGCUUUUGGAAUAAGGGCUGGGCAAGACCGGUGCCAGCCGCCGCGGUAACACCGGCAGCUCUAGUGGUAGCAGUUUUUAUUGGGCCUAAAGCGUCCGUAGCCGGUUUAAUAAGUCUCUGGUGAAAUCCUGUAGCUUAACUGUGGGAAUUGCUGGAGAUACUAUUAGACUUGAGACCGGGAGAGGUUAGAGGUACUCCCAGGGUAGAGGUGAAAUUCCGUAAUCCUGGGAGGACCGCCUGUUGCGAAGGCGUCUAACUGGAACGGUUCUGACGGUGAGGGACGAAAGUUAGGGGCGCGAACCGGAUUAGAUACCCGGGUAGUCCUAACUGUAAACGAUGCGGACUUGGUGUUGGGGUGGCUUUGAGCUGCUCCAGUGCCGAAGGGAAGCUGUUAAGUCCGCCGCCUGGGAAGUACGGUCGCAAGACUGAAACUUAA
rnacentral:rRNA from 1 species